rnacentral:rRNA from 1 species
CUCUUAGACGUUCUGGGCCGCACGCGCGCUACACUGACCAGUGCAACAAGCAUCCGUCCUUGGCCGACAGGCUCGGGCAAUCUUUGAACGCUGGUCGUGAUGGGGAUAGACUUUUGCAAUUUUUGGUCUUCAACGAGGAAUUCCUAGUAAACGCAAGUCAUCAACUUGCAUUGAUUACGUCCCUGCCCUUUGUACACACCGCCCGUCGCACCUACCGAUUGAAUGGUCCGGUGAAGCCUCCGGAUUGGCGCGCACCUCGGUGCCGCCGAGAAGUUGGCUAAACCUUACCAUUUAGAGGAAGGUGAAGUCGUAACA